UACGUAGGGGGCAAGCGUUGUCCGGAAUCAUUGGGCGUAAAGCGCGUGUAGGCGGCCAGAAAAGUCCGCUGUGAAAACUCGAGGCUCAACUUCGAGCUGUCGGUGGAAACUUUCUGGCUAGAGUCCGGAAGAGGAGAAUGGAAUUCCUGGUGUAGCGGUGAAAUGCGCAGAUAUCAGGAAGAACCCCCGUGUCGAAGGCGGUUCUCUGGGACGGUACUGACGCUGAGGUGCGAAAGCGUGGGGAGCAAACAGG
rnacentral:rRNA from 1 species